UGUGUAGUCCGUGGGGAGUGAUUACCUCAUGAGAAUAUAGCCUAAGGGUGAUGGGAAACCUUCAGAGAAGGCAGGCGAUCGGCACUCUCUAUGAAUCAACCAUGUACUGCAAACUUUUCUACUGUGCAGCCCUUUUAUUCUGGACAGCAAGCUCCACAGACUCUGGGGUCACCCAGAGUCCUAGACUUCUGGUCAAAGGAAAAGAACAGAAAGCCAGAAUGGACUGCACCCCCAUAAAAGGACAUAGCUACGUCUAUUGGUACUACAAGAAGCUGGGAGAAGAACUCAAAUUUUUGGUUUACUUUCAGAAUAAAGACAUCAUUGAUAAAACAGAUAUGAUUGGUAAAAACAUUUCAGCGAAAUGCCCCACUAACGAACCAUGUACCAUAGAGAUCCAGUCCAGCAAGCUAACAGAUUCAGCUGUGUACUUCUGUGCUAGCAGUCAAUCCACAGUGCUGACUACUGGCUUUUCUUAG